rnacentral:lncRNA from 1 species
GCUUGGACCUGUACAUUGGGGAAACUAAACAACCGCUUCACAAGCGCAUGGCUCAACACAGGAGAACUACUUACUCAGGUCAGGACUCAGCUGUCCACCUUCACUUAAAGGACACGGGUCACUCUUUCGAGGACAGCAAUGUACAAGUGUUGGCCAAAGAAGACAGAUGGUUUGAAAGAGGAGUUAAAGAAGCCAUCUUAACCAGACUGGAGAAACCUUCUCUGAACAGAGGGGGUCGACUCAGGCACAAUCUCUCCAGCACUUACAAUGCAGUUCUCUGCUCUCUUCUCGGGAAGCUCCACAAACAUUCACACCUGGGACCACAUGACCCAGGUGGCAUGAGUCAUGUGGUCACAUGACAGGGGUCGUUAACGACCCCUUCAGGUUAAUGGGGGGGGGGGGGGGGUUUCUACGACCCAUUCUUUCCAGCUCUGUCUGUCCCCUUCUCCAGUAGGAUAAAUAUCUGCUCCUCACACUAGCAAUAUUUAGAACUGAAGAAGCUUCUUUGAUAAGAGGCGAAAUGUCUUCUCAACUCUACACAGUCCAGUUGCCUGAUUUUGGAGUCUUCAAGGAGGGGAAGGGUAGUGUUUACAUUCCAAAAUUCCUCCCCAAACUGAUAUUACUCACAUCCUGCCUACAUCACCUUUAAUAUUCAAACUACUGAACUUGAUUUAUUGUAUUUUUUUUGUAAAUAUUUACUAAUUAUGAAUUUAACCCUGUUAUUCAUUCCUAAAAAGUUGGUUUAGGGCAGGGGUCGGCAACCCGCGGCUCUGGAGCCGAAUGCGGCUCUUUCUUCCCUAAGCUGCGGCUCCCAAUGGAUUUGGAAAAUAAAUAAUAAAUACUUAAUUGCAUUUUAUUUUAUUUUAUUAUAAUUAUUAUUUUUUGUAAUUCUAAAUUCAAAGAUUAUAAUGCUCUUGUAACAUUAAAUAAACUAUUAAGGCUGCAACAACAAAUCGAUUAAGUAGAUUCGUCGUGACAAAAAAAUCCAUUGCCAACAAAUUCUGUAAUCGAUUCGUCGGGUCUUUAUAUAUGUCCAUGGACACCGGCGUGUAAACAUCAGCAGGACGCACAGAAAAGAAACAGCCAUGGCCGAGGCAGCGGCUGAGAAAAACAUGGACACAACCCAACCCAAAUCCCGACCUAAAACAUCAGUGGUGUGGGAAAACUUCACGAAGACUGAAAAGGAAGGCGUUCAGUGCAACAUUUGCAAAGACCGUUUUGCAUGGCUUGGGAGUACAUCGAUGAUGCGUGAGCACAGGGCUCUCAAGUCUCACGCAUUCAGCGUAUGACACACGCAUUCCCACUCGUUCACACGCUCACACACCACACAUUGUAUUUCUCACGCAUUUAAAUGAACACGGUGAUGUCCACCAAGUUGCACUUCUUCAACUAUGGAACUGGGGGAAAUCAACUGAGUUCCUCCGAGAGUUCAGAAGCUGCGUGCCACGCACAAGCCAAUCAAAUAAAGUAUAUCUACUGAACAGCCAAUCAAAAAGCAGCAUUGCUGUAUCCGGGUAGAUUUUGAUAUCUUGCGGUUUAACUACAGAAGAAGACAGACACUCGCCAAAAUAGUUCAUUUAUUUCAUAAAUGCAACUCGCUACAGUUUUUAAUAUACUUUGUAUAAAGGUGAAAAAAAAGAUAUAUGCAAUGUUAUCUUCAUUUUAGAUGUCAAAGAGGUUUUGUGGCUCCCUGUGUUUUCUUUUCUGUGGGAAACUGGUCCAAGUGGCUCUUUGAGUGUUUAAGGUUGCCGACCCCUGGUUUAAGGUCAUGUUUCUCUCUGUGUUACAUCACCUUUCACUCAGUAAGCUUUUGUGAACUGAGGACAGUGAGUGUUAAAGCUUUGGAGACGAAUUCUUUUUCAGUCUUCAUUCAUCAACCACUUCAUCUGACCAAUAGUUUGUGGUCUUCAUUGUCACAUUUUGCACUUCAGUUAUCACUAACUCUCAGUCUGUGUGGCGCAUUAUGAAGUGCAGGUUUAAAAUAAACUUGGUUUAAACUUUGAGCAAGCAUUACAACCUUUAGUUAAUUUUAAAAUCAUACACAUUUACUUGAAGUCUGUUAUUAAUUUUACUUAUUGUCAUUAUUUUAUUAAAAAGGAAUCAUUUUAGGGCAGUUUGAGGCUAAACCCGAGCUCAUGCAAACACACUUGCACCACAGAGAUGGUCUGGGCUGUGGAAAACAAGUGUUUUUAUCUGGACAAGGUGCUCUUCAUGGUUUGCUUCAUGUUAAGCUUUCUAAAAACUGUGAUAAUUUAGCAAUUUACAGUGGCAAGGAAGAACUUACUUUUAACAGGCAGAAACCUCAAACAGAACUGGACUCAUUUUGGACAGAGAUCUGCCUUGUUGGGCUUAGAAAGGUAUGGGUGCUACACCUAAUGGCUUGGAUAGGUCCUUUGAGUGUGUGUAUUGAGAAGGUAGGCUAAAUGCAAGGGCUUUAUGGCUUCAUUAUCACUGAUGAUGGCUUAUCAAUAAUGAUAUCCUUUGUUUCUUAGGAAGAUGCUGAAUGACACAUGACAUUAUGUUAUGUAGGUCAUUAAUGUCAUUGUUGUAACUUGUUUAAUAUAGUUUACUGACCCUGGAUAUUUAUCACCCAUACCGGUUUUUGAAAAGUUGUCUUCCUGUACACAAUGAAAGGAUUAUCAUCUGUUAAACUGAACAAACCUUAAUUCACAGUGUUGUUGUAUUCCUUCACAGAGGCACGAGCAGUGGGGAAUUCACAUGGGGUCCAUCUUUUUGCAUGCUGUGUGGUUGGUCUGGUGGUGGUCACAAGAAUGCCUUUUAGACUGACUUUUCUUCGCAGUAAACAUUUGCAGUGUUGGAGUUCGCAGUGUGCUCACUUUGUGGUGUCUGAUGGGGUUUGCCAUAGAAUCUCCCCACAGUAAGGACCCUGUCCAGGCAUUGCAUUUUAUUACACUGUAAAUCUGCUUGAUAGUCUUUUUCAACCGUAGGAGUUGAUAGAUUUUAGUUUUCGUAUAAACCUGUGGAAAUAAAACUACUUAAUUUUAUUACCUCUUUCUUAUAGGGUCUUCAAUUGAGAAUCUUAAUCAUCCUAAACCAUCCAAUCUGUGACUAAAAUGUGUCUCCUGCUUUUGUUGAACCUGUAAAAAAAAGUUUUUUUUAUGUCAAUUCAUUUGAAGAAAGGGGGCCUUCCCCCGGACCAAGUGUUCAUUUUUCCCGGCCCCAAGGGUCCUUACGUUCCUUUUAUAGUACUGUGUCUAGUCACAAACAGGUUUAAUCAAAAAACAAAGUUAUAAGCCCACUUUUCAAAGUAAAGAGUGUCUGCUAUGGGAAGGCUAAAAACCGGAGCCUCUACCUCCCAUAAUACAUUUACAGACGGAAUGUACAACCAUAAAUUACUGUGAGCAUAAUGUGGGCUAAUAGGGCACUAUAAGCUUUUUAAGAGGUUAAUGUGGGGAUUGAAGGCAAGCUGUCAUACCUUUCGCUGUUACAAUAAAAUUUAACUUGAAGUUAAGGUGAAAGCCCCCAGCAAAAAAACUAGAAUGAGAAGUAAUUCACAUACUUCUAGUUUUAGAAUCUGAUAUAGACAUUUCCUUGUGGGCCAUAGACUGUAUAUAGCAUAGACACAAUCUGCCUCCUCGUUGGAUGAAGCCUCCACGAAAACAGCACCCUCUGUUGACAUGCUGCAACAUAAGUCAUAAAUCCCGCCUCCUCCAGCAAAUGAAUGGAGUUGUGGACAAACACAAACACAGACUACAAAUUUUUCUCCCUCCUUUGUUGCAAUGUUGACAUGGGGUUGACAGGGGUUUAUGUUUUCCAUGAUUGACACCUCAGUACAGCCUAUGGGCGGACGAAGAUUGCGUAGAUCACCCGGGAGAUACGCUGUUUGAGCAGAAAUUUAUCACAGCAUUUUCCGCCAAAAACUACCACAUAGAUGCUGGUUUCAGUAAAAUCCCGGGAACACUGAGAGCAAUUUGGCUUCAAAUUUGUUCAACCCUAAUGGAAGGUGGAGCCACGUUGUCCAUACUGCAUACAGUCAAUAGUGUGGGUUAAGUUUGCUUUAGACACACUCCAGGUUAUAGGUGUAUUGUACAGAUGGGUCCUCCUUUCUGGUUUUGCAGCAGUAUUUGAUUUGUGAAUUCAACUUUUCCUCUAUAGCCAUGGAGGAAAAUAUACUGCAUAAAUGACUUUGGAAAACUGAACCGAGUAUUUCUCUGCACCUCUGUCAUCACUAUAAAACAAUCAAUUAGAGUAUCCUUCUAUUCAUGUGCAGAGUGUACUUAUGUUACACCUUGUGAAGGCCUCUUUUUUCAGCGUAAUGCUUGUUUCCAUGGUGAUGACUCCUACUCUUCCAUACUCUCUGCUUUCAGGUUUGCACUGCUAUGGUAAUAGAGCUUCACUCUAAGCAUUUUUAAUAACAUAUAUUCUGAGUAAGACAGAAGUAAAAUAAAAAAGUAACACAUCAAUUGUUCCAGAGUGUACUCAGAUAAAUUUUCUUGAAAUCUUGUUGGAAGGUUUAGACAUCAAUAUUAAACCCAUCAAAGGGACUUUUUGCCUGUGUCUCUUUCUGUUAAGCACAGUAAAAAAAAAAAGGAUCAAAGUAAAGAUAACAUGUGUAUCCAUGUGUUUAGCACAGUUAAAAAGGGUAAAGUAUAAGGAACAGGUGAUUUCAGUCUUUAUUUUCCGUAAAUUUUCAAUAUUAGGAAAAAAAUGGGGAUUUUAAAUGAGAAGAAAUGAAAGUUGGAAAUUGGAAUUGUAUUUCUGGUAACACUUUUACUGAAUAAUCUUGUCAUGCUUGCUCAACCACUUUAUAUAAUGUAAUCUUCUGGGCUUUGAGAAAAAAACUGUUGAGCCAUAAUUCAGCCCCAACUGCUGGCACAAAUUUGAAAUUUCUUCAAGGUCAGCUACCACUUUUCACAUCACUAUACUCCCUUCCACAUGCUCUGCGGACAUUGUUCAAAUCCAAGAUUCAUCUGGCUGCCUUUGCAUGAUUCAACAAAAUGACAAAAAAUAACAGGCAGUGCAGAGAUAGUGAGGGAGAGCUCUCCUACAAAUAUAACACCUUCCAAAGCUCCGAAACAAUAACCUAUCAAUACAGUUUAUGUGAGGCUCAUUGUGAUUUCCUUUGGUAGUACCAUUUUUUUACUUUUAAUUUUAAUUUUUUAUAAUCAUUCUCAUUAAAUUAUAGAAAAUGCUUGCAGGAAAUGAGAACAGGUAAAAAGGGAAAAAGUGCUGAAACUAGGGUUCCAGCAUCUAAUCAGGCGUGGCUGGCUCAAGCACUUUUUCCUCACUUACAGCAUUGACUAAAUUGAUCAUUUAUUGUUUAGUAUCUAUGUAUAAGAAAUUAUUUUGUUCCUCUGCAUUCUAUGUUUUGAAGUCAUCCAUAUGUCUAAUGUCCCUGUACACAACAAUUUUAGACUACCAUCAACAGAUGUUGAUGGUAGUCUCAAAUGUAUUAUUUUGCUUUGAAUUUAAGGCCAUGUACACAUGUAGCCGGGUAUUUUUAUGAAUGAAUAUCCAACCCCCUCUGUCUUAAGAAAAAAAAAAAAAAUCACAUACAAACAUCAUCGUUUUAAAAUAAAAUCCCAUCCCCACAACACCGCGUAAAUGUGCUACUGACCAUGGUUAUAAGCAUGCCAGACCUGGAGUUGGUUGGAUUUGCGACAAAGUUAGACCCAAGUUAGAUCCAAUCAGAGCAAGCUUCCCUUUCUUGUUGUCACUUCUCCAAACAUGACACAUAGCACUGUGUAGUUUGUUCAUGUGGACCGACAAAGAGGUGUAAUAGCUUUUAAGCAUCAUUUUAGAUUAUAAAGUUAUCAAGACACAAGAAAGGUGGAGGUAGGGUUAUUUGAUGCAGAAAAAAACGACUACAAAGCACUCCUCCUUUGAUCCUCACAAAAAUAUAUAUUUUGUUUAUAUCUGUGCCAUCCACUGCCUGACGCUAACAAGGGAACACAGUAUAUGACAUUUAUAUAUUAGUUGUCAAAGACACUGACAUUUGGGAAUUUAUAACUCUAUGACCACAUGCAAAUGCAAAACCAGAGUUUCCUAAAAUCUUCACUUUGACAGGAGCUUUCCAAAAGCACCUUUUAAAAUAAUGUUUCAUGUGGCUUCGUGUGGAUGACAGGCUAAAUCGUACAAAAGUGUCUUUGUUUUAGCAGGUACCUGGCUACAUGUGCACAUGGCCUUAGAGAGUUAAUCUGUAAAGGAAAGUAGCAGUCUUAACUUGUACAAAUUAGGUGAAAGCACACUAAAAACUGGUCAAAUGAACUAAGUAGAUGUAACCAACAGCAGCACCAAGAAAAAAUAAACAAGAGUUGGGGGGAGUGGGGCCACAUCUUUUAGAAUAGGGACUAGUUACUAAAUAUUUACUCGAUGGGCUCUAUUUUCAUGCCUAGCGGCAGUGGGGCAGAGGGUGGCACACCCCACACAGAGGUACUUUUGGAGCCUGGUGCACAGCUGGUUUGGUAUUUUUGUAGACUGAGGCACUCUGAGGUCUGCCAAGCUGGGCGACGUGGCGCAGUAGAUGGAGGUGUCAACAGAAUCAGCUGACGCAAUGACAUUUUCGUGCUCACUGGCGGUAUGGAAAGUGCGCUGAAAGCUCGCCGAUUCAAACCUGGUCAGCUUUUAGCGCAGGUGGAGUGCAGCUGGUCUAGUGGUAUUUUAGUAAACUGGCAGCGUAGUGUGCAUACGUCACCAAUGCCUCACCAGCAGGUUUCCACAACUUCAGUGCAAUAAAUAAUCAACAACAACCAAUAUUCAGUGCAACUAUCAGAGUCAGCACAGACAUUUAGAUGUUUAUCAAUAUAUUCUGAUCCAUAACUUAUCUAAUGAGCGCAAUUGGCACGUGUUUGGAUACUCAACUUGACUGAAUUAACAUUAAAUUAAAUAUUCUGUAUUUACUGUCCCUCUUCUUCAUUGCGCAGUUUGACACAGACACAUCUCCGUGUCCUCUUCCCGUACUGCUGCUGUUGCGGCGGCAAGGCUGACCAAAUGAUAUAUUUUAGUGAUCAGAUGAGUUGUUUACUGCGAAAAUUUGAACAAAAAAAAAGAAUAAUUAAAGACACUUUCAUUCAAAAUUACCUGUUUAUCUGAUGUUCUCACAUUCUAAAUAUUGUGUGAAUAUUCAAUCCGGAGUUAGGCCCACAUACCGGUAUUGUAAUAUUCAGUUGCAUUAAGUUCAUUUUGUAUGCCAACAUCAAUGAAAGAAAGAGCCAGGCCACAGAGCGCAAUUCAUCCUUUACGUACAGGUGGUUCUGAUUUUAAUGCCAUUAUAAGAAUUUGUUUGUGUUGUGAUCUGUGCGCACAACCCACCUUUGUCACAUGGGUUUUGAAUAUAUGCAACUUGAUGUGAUUGUCUUUAUUUGUAGAAAAGGGUGUAUGUCUUACCAGUGGGUACAACCUUACACACACCAAAUCCCUCUGUGCUUAUUUGAGACAGUGUGGAGGACGCCCUCCACAGUGCUGCCUCCUGUUGCCAUCGUGUGGCAUUGCUGGGAGGGGGUAUAAUUACGCCGGGCUGCGCCGCUCACUAAUAUACCAAAGUGUGUUUGGGCAAGCCUCAUUGGCGCGGCGGACUUGACUUACGCCACGCUGCCGGGGAGGCAUGAAAAUCAAUCAAUCAGUCUUUAUAUAUAUAGCACUUUUCAUACAUAGCAUGCAGCACAAAGUGCUUCACACAGAAAAAGGAAUAAAAGAAACAAAGAAUACCCAGAUCAACCCCAGCCUAACCGCUCAUUCCCACCCCACAAUCUAAUUGCAACAGAAACAGUAUGAAAAUGCAUGAACUUAAAGAGGGCUUGAUUUCGUUGAAACAAGAACGUGCGCAGAGGUAAACGUCAUUUUAAAACUCAAGAUAAGGAAACACUGGAGGUUAAUGUUAAAAUCUAAAAACAAAGACACAUAAAAUGAAAUUUAAGAAAUAAUAAAUAAAAUGAAAUAAAAACAACAGUAGAAGAUACUAAAAUAAGAGCACCAAAAUAGCUCAAUAAAAGAUGAUCCUGUGAUUUAAACUAGAAUAGAUAAAUGCUAAAACACUUAAAAAUAGAGCCCUAUAAAUAAGAACAUAACACAUAGAGACAUUUGAGUAUUAUGACGAAACAGAAUGCAUAUCACCAAAGAUCAUCACCAUGGAAACAUUUGUGGAUUUAAUCAAUACCGUAAC